ensembl:processed_transcript Gm26672 predicted gene, 26672
CUCUUCCCGGAAGCUGGGAGCGUUAUCGUUAAUGUCCAGUACUUCCACCUCAACUCCGUAAAUCUUCAGGGUUUCCUCCACGAGAAUUUCCAAAUUCAGCAUGCAGGAGGGCAUCGUAUCACAUAGCUCUUCACGGUCGAUCCUACCUGCAGUGACCAAGCUGCCGCCUCGCGGAUUCAGAGAGAAAAGCUGCGAUUGUCCCCUGGAGAUGAUGCGGACUCCGCGUUCCGCGACCUCCCAGGGCUCCAGCCCCAGGUCUUUGGAGAUGUUGCCUACGAAGAAGCCUUUAUCUGUUUCUUCUGGAACCGAGUAUCGGAUCUGUCCUGUCCCAAAGGUCAGCAAGGUCCCCAGGAAAAUGCACAGCGGGAUCAGCGCGCGGCGGUCCAGGCGCUGAGACUGAUUCGCCAUGGCUGGGUGUGAGCGUUAUUCCGUAAGGGUCUUGCGCCGGUUUAAUUUUUAUUUAUUUUUCCGAGUCAGCUUUUGUGUCUACGAGGUUCCAGGUAUCCCGCAUCCAAAACAUAUUCCAAAGCGAACGGAGGUGUUUUUACUUCCAGAGUUGAGAUGCGUGAGUAUCCAUCCUUUUCGGCUUUGUGUGCUAGAGAUUCCGGAGAAGUACUCAAUAGCUUUGUCCUCCCGUUCCCCGAUUGGUCAACAGCGGCGCCUAGAGCCCAAUCUUAUUAUUGCAACACUAAUAAAAACCCGGUGUCUGUUGCGGAGAAAACUGUCACACUCACCUUUUCCGUGGAUCCUAACAUUUGUGAAGCCGACAACAGCAAACAACAGCUAUGUGAUGUGAUGUAAAUUUUACCAAGAGCACUUAUGAAAAGGGUAGUUAUUAGAUGGACUUGUUUAAUUAAAAAAACGUUUCAAAAUAACACUGGGACUUAAAAUACACAGGUUAGUUGUGAUUCCAGCUGGUUUUACUAACUGUAGAGACGCGGCGUUUGUGAAUGAGAAGCCAGCAUGGUCCAGACGAAAUCCUCAGGUAGGAUUCAUGGCUAUUAUUCUUACUACUUUUUAUUCAAGGUUUUAUCUUAUUAGUUUAAUUAUGAGUAUAUGCAUGUGUCUUUGUGAGUAUGUGCACAGGCAAGUAUGGGUUCAUGUGAAGUCCAGAAGAAGGUGGAGCUGGAGUUAUCGCAGUAGUAAACUGCCAGUCAUGGGUGCUGGGAACCGAACCUGGGUCCUCUCAAAGAGUAAUGGCGCUCUUAACCACUAAGCCAUCUCUCCAGUUUCCACCAACGUUGCUUUUAUUCUUAACGAGUUAUUUUUAAUGAGUAUGAUAACGACGGAAUGUUCCAUUCAAAAUUUUAAUAGUAUUAUGGUUAUCAUUUAAAAGAUAAUAAAAUAUGCCUGUAAAUCAUAUCCAAAACUAGAAGGUAUUUUGAUGAAAAAUUGACGUGAGAUUUUUCAUAUAUUUGUGUGUGUUAGAGUCAGGAGGAGGAGAGAAUUAAUUGGUAAUUGAAGCAAGACCUAGAGCACACUACAUGCUCAAACUUAAAAAAAGAACAAAAGAAAGAAAAGGAAAGAAAGG